CGAGUUUGAUUCUGGCUCCGAGUGAAUGCUAGCGAAAGGCUUAAACACAUGCGAAUCGAACGAUGCAUAUUUUUAUUGUGCAUAGUGGUGUCUUGGUGAGUAACAUAUGAGGAUCGAAGUAACAUUAAUGGGCAUAAAAUUCCCAUGAAAGAUUAAUAUCGGUGUUGCUAGAGCUUAUACAUAAUUAGGCAGUUGGUGAUGUAACGGAUUACCAAGCCCGCGAUGUUUAGCUGGUUUGGGAGAAUGAUCAGCCACAACGGGACUGAAAGACCGCCCGUCUUCUUUGAGGAGGCAGCAGUGGGGAAUCUUGGACAAUGAGCGAAAGCUUGAUCCAGCAAUUUCGCAUGUAUGAAGAAGACCACUAAACGUUGUAAAGUACUAAGCUCGGGGAUAAUAAUGACGGUACCCGAGUAAAAAGCCCUGACUAACUUCGUGCCAGCAGUCGCGGUAAAACGGAGAGGGCAAGUGUUAUUCGUAUUGACUGGGUGUAAAGGGUACGUAGGCGGUUAUUUAAGUUAUAAAAAAAAAACUAUAUCUUUUUAUAAUACUAUAUGACUAGAGUUAAAAAGGGGAUGGCGGUACCUCCAGUUUAGAAGUGACAUUCGUUUGAGAUUGGGGGGACCAACAAUAGGCGAUGGCUGCUUUCCAUUUUUAUACUGACGCUGAGGUACGAAAGCAUGGGGAGCGAACAGGAUUAGAGACCCUGGUAGUCCAUGCCCUGACCUAUGAAUAUUAAUCGUCCAUUUAGAUAGUGGAUGACUAAGCUAACGCGAAAAUAUUCCACCUGAGGACUACGGCCGCAAGGUUAAAACUCAAAGAAAUUGGCGGAAGAUCGUUUAAGCGGUGGAGUAUGUGGUUUAAUUCGAUAAUACGCGAAAAACCUUACCAAUCUUUGUGCACAUUUUCGGUUCUACAAAACUUGUAGCCCAAAUUGAGGUGGUCAAUUUGGGCUAGCUAUGUGCCAGGCGUUGCAUGGCUGUCGUAAGCUCGUGUCUUAGGAUGUGUGGUUAACUCCAUGAACGGGCGCAACCCUUGUUCCUAGUUAGAUUAGGAAUGAAAACAGUGAAAACUGCUUUUGAGGAUGAGGAGUAUGUCAAGUCAAUAUGACCUUUAUAGAUUGGGCUACACACGUACUACAACGGUAGCUACAAUGAGAAACAAUGCCGUGAGGCGGAGUAAAUCUCUAAAACCUACCCUAGUUCGGAUUAUUUUUUGAAAUAAAAAUAUGAAGCCGGAAUCGCUAGUAAUCGCAAAAAAGAAUGUUGCGGUGAAUAUUAAGACCGAUCUUAGUACACACCGCCCGUCACGCCAUGGAAGCUUGUUUGGUUUGAAGAUAUUAAGUCACAUGUUUCGAAGUGAUUAUUCCUUAAUAAGUUCAUGUUAUAUGUGUUACUGGUAUCGACAAUUAUAUAGGUAACUGGGGUGAAGUCGUAACAAGGUAGUGGUAGGGGAACCUGCUGCUGGACAAAAA
rnacentral:rRNA from 1 species